rnacentral:rRNA from 1 species
AGGGUUCGAUUAUGGCUCAGGACGAACGCUGGCGGCGCGCCUAACACAUGCAAGUCGAACGGAGUUGAUUUUGUUGAAGUUUUCGGAUGGAUACGAAGUUAACUUAGUGGCGAACGGGUGAGUAACGCGUGAGUAACCUGCCCCGAAGUGGGGGACAACAGUUGGAAACGACUGCUAAUACCGCAUAAGCCCACGGUAUCGCAUGAUACUGAGGGAAAAGGACUUCGGUUUGCUUCGGGAUGGACUCGCGUCCAAUUAGCUAGUUGGUGAGGUAACGGCCCACCAAGGCGACGAUUGGUAGCCGGACUGAGAGGUUGAACGGCCACAUUGGGACUGAGACACGGCCCAG